rnacentral:tRNA from 1 species
GCUGGCAUGGCGGAAUAGGCAGACGCACAGGACUUAAAAUCCUGGGAUGGUGACAUCGUGAGAGUUCAAGUCUCUCUGCCAGCA